CUAUUGUGGUUGUGAAGCUCGUACAGUCUACUUGAUGUUCGCACAAAAUUUCCUCCAGGCAACAAGACGAUGAGUUCAGUGCAAGUCUUCAGGCUGUAGGGCUAAUCAUAGGCAAAGAAGUCUGGACUUCCGUGGGUUUUCAUGAACGAUUUUGAAAUGAAGAAUAGUUGUUAAGUUAUUAUUUUUGCUAGAAGAGUAGCGUUGCAAAAGAGUAUUGCUGGGGAAGUAACUGGAGCACAUGCUACUAUUUUUACAGGAAAGAACCUAAAUGACCCAACUUAUGAAAUCUACAGAUGUUGCUUACGAAAUCGGUAGAGCCAUGCAUCUGCAAUUAUCUAUUAGCAACAUCAGGUUUGUGUUUGUAUCUCUUCUGCCAUCAUUUCUUGAUCAUUAUGUUAUUUCUUUUCUCAUCUCGAAUCCUUUUUGUUAUAGCCAUACAUUCUCUUUUGGUUUAAGAAGAUAAUAAUCCAGUUUCACUAAAUGCAUUUUCUAUAGCAGCAUAUUCUCUAAUAAUUCAAUCAUACUACGUACUGGUCUAUAAUUUCAUUUCUUUGGUCAUUAAUAUAGCUUUUCCCUGAGAUUGUUUCUCAUAGUGAACAACUCAUAAAAAUGAUUUAUAGGAAAUAUACAAGAAUGAUAGGGUACAUACUAAUGUCUUCUGUAACUUCCCUGUAUGGUUCAGGAUAAGCGUAUUGCAACAGAAGAUUCGAGGGCGAUAACGCGAGGAAGAAAAACUGUCUGUUGCGGGAGAAGAAAUUUUUGC
rnacentral:lncRNA from 1 species